rnacentral:rRNA from 1 species
UUAAAUUGAAGAGUUUGAUCAUGGCUCAGAUUGAACGCUGGCGGCAGGCCUAACACAUGCAAGUCGAACGGUAACAGGAAGCAGCUUGCUGCUUCGCUGACGAGUGGCGGACGGGUGAGUAAUGUCUGGGAAACUGCCUGAUGGAGGGGGGUAAAAACUGGAACCGCUAGCUAAUACCGCAUAAUGUCGCAAGACCAAGGAGGGGGAUCUUCGAGCCUCUGGCCAUUGGAUCAGCCAAGCUGGAGUGAGAUGGAUGGUGGGG